UACGAAGGGGGCUAGCGUUGCUCGGAAUCACUGGGCGUAAAGGGCGCGUAGGCGGACUUUUAAAGUCGGGGGUGAAAGCCCAGGGCUCAACCCUGGAAUUGCCUUCGAUACUGAGAGUCUUGAGUUCGGAAGAGGUUGGUGGAACUGCGAGUGUGAGAGGUGAAAUUCGUAGAUAUUCGCAAGAACACCAGUGGCGAAGGCGGCCAACUGGUCCGAUACUGACGGCUGAGGCG
rnacentral:rRNA from 1 species